AAUGUAUGACGCUGUUGACUUUUUAUCCAACGUUUGAUCAUUUGUCUUAUUUAAAAAAUUUAUGUAAUUAUCAUUUAUUUUAUUAUGAGUUGAUUCGUCAUCAAAUGUUCUUUAAGUAUGACAUAAAUAUUUUUAUAUUUACACAAAAUUUUUAAAUAAAACGAAUGGUCAAACGUUGAUUGAAAAGUCAACGACGCCAUCCAU
rfam:Oryza glaberrima chromosome 12 Oglab12_0209_20, whole genome shotgun sequence.